GACGAACGCUGGCGGCGUGCUUAACACAUGCAAGUCGAACGGAAAGGCCCUGCUUUGGUGGGGUGCUCGAGUGGCGAACGGGUGAGUAACACGUGAGUAACCUGCCCUUGACUUUGGGAUAACUUCAGGAAACUGGGGCUAAUACCGGAUAGGAGCUCCUGCUGCAUGGUGGGGGUUGGAAAGUUGCGGCGGUUGGGGAUGGACUCGCGGCUUAUCAGCUUGUUGGUGGGGUAGUGGCUUACCAAGGCUUUGACGGGUAGCCGGCCUGAGAGGGUGACCGGCCACAUUGGGACUGAGAUACGGCCCAGAGUCGUACGGGAGGCAGCAGUGGGGAAUAUUGCACAAUGGGCGGAAGCCUGAUGCAGCAACGCCGCGUGCGGGAUGACGGCCUGCGGGCAGUAAACCGCUUUCGGCUGUGACGAAGCGUGAGUGACGGUAAUGGGUGAAGAAGCACCGGCUAACUACGUG
rnacentral:rRNA from 1 species